GCGUCCGAUUAGCUAGUAGGUGGGGUAAAGGCUUACCUAGGCGACGAUCAGUAGCUGGUCUGAGAGGAUGAUCAGCCACACUGGGACUGAGACACGGCCCAGACUCCUACGGGAGGCAGCAGUGGGGAAUUUUCCGCAAUGGGCGAAAGCCUGACGGAGCAAUACCGCGUGAGGGAGGAAGGCUCUUGGGUCGUAAACCUCUUUUCUCAGGGAAGAAACAAAUGACGGUACCUGAGGAAUCAGCAUCGGCUAACUCCGUGCCAGCAGCCGCGGUAAU
rnacentral:rRNA from 1 species